rnacentral:rRNA from 1 species
CCUACGGGUGGCAGCAGUGAGGAAUAUUGGUCAAUGGACGAGAGUCUGAACCAGCCAAGUAGCGUGAAGGAUGACUGCCCUAUGGGUUGUAAACUUCUUUUAUAUGGGUAUAAAAUGUUCCACGUGUGGGAUUUUGUAUGUACCAUAUGAAUAAGGAUCGGCUAACUCCGUGCCAGCAGCCGCGGUAAUACGGAGGAUCCGAGCGUUAUCCGGAUUUAUUGGGUUUAAAGGGAGCGUAGGUGGAUUGUUAAGUCAGUUGUGAAAGUUUGCGGCUCAACCGUAAAAUUGCAGUUGAAACUGGCAGUCUUGAGUACAGUAGAGGUGGGCGGAAUUCGUGGUGUAGCGGUGAAAUGCUUAGAUAUCACGAAGAACUCCGAUUGCGAAGGCAGUUCACUGGACUGCAACUGACACUGAGGCUCGAAAGUGUGGGUAUCAAACAGGAUUAGAUACCCGAGUAGUC